rnacentral:lncRNA from 1 species
GGUUGCAGAGGUGAACGUCACACUUAGCUUGUGGGUCCAGAAGUUAAAGUUCUUACCACAUAGCCCUGUGACGGGCUCAGGCAAUGGCCCCAGGUGAGCCACAGCCAGCAGGGCUCUCCCCACUUGGACUGAGUUCCUGAGAGCAUGUGUGUGACUCGGCUCAGCUUGGCGGCACACAGGAUGACGCUCUCGGCAACGUGGAAGGCUUGUGCUUGAUUCUCAGGGGUACAUUCAUGGACAUCAUCUUCAAUGUUUUAGGGGAAAUGUCCAGUCCGUCCGAGUCGAUACCGGCUCAUCUUUCUUGGAAGAGACGCCUUCAGCCCAGUGCUCCUAUCCAACAGCCAUAAUUCAGCCAAAGUCCGCCAGAGACAGCAAAAUGAACCAUUGACAGAACUGGAAUCAAAACGCAGUUCAAAAAAAAUUUUGUUGAAAAGGAUCUAAUUUUUAUAUGCUGGUUUGGAUGUCCCCUCAAUUUGGGGGAGGUCUGUAAGUUUUAUUCCUUUGAGAAACAGUGAAUUUUUUAUUAGUGCGUGUUUGUAAUACAGAAAAAU